GACGAACGCUGGCGGCGUGCUUAACACAUGCAAGUCGAACGGAAAGGCCCUGCUUUUGUGGGGUGCUCGAGUGGCGAACGCGUGAGUAACACGUGUGUAACCUGCCCUUGACUUUGGGAUAACUUCAGGAAACUGGGGCUAAUACCGGAUAGGAGCUCCUGCUGCAUGGUGGGGGUUGGAAAGUGUCGGCGGUUGGGGCUGGACUCGCGGCUUAUCAGCUUGUUGGUGGGGUAGUGGCUUACCAAGGCUUUGACGGGUAGCCGGCCUGGGAGGGUGACCGGGGACAAUGGGACUGCGGUACGGACCAGAAGGGUACGGGAGGCAGCAGGGGGGAACAUGGCGCAAUGGGCGCAAGCCUGAUGCAGCAACGCCGCGUGCGGGAUGACGGCCUACGGGUUGUAAACAGCUGUGGCCGGUGACGAAGCGGGAGUGACGGUAAUGGGUAAAGAAGCACCGGCUAACUACGUG
rnacentral:rRNA from 1 species